rnacentral:rRNA from 1 species
ACCAUGCAAGUCGAACGGCAGCGGGCCCUUCGGGGUGCCGGCGAGUGGCGAACGGGUGAGUAAUGCAUCGGAACGUACCCGGGAGUGGGGGAUAACCGGCCGAAAGGCUGGCUAAUACCGCAUGAUCUCGGAAGAGCAAAGCGGGGGACCUUCGGGCCUCGCGCUCUCGGAGCGGCCGAUGUCCGAUUAGCUAGUUGGUGAGGUAAAGGCUCACCAAGGCGACGAUCGGUAGCGGGUCUGAGAGGACGAUCCGCCACACUGGGACUGAGACACGGCCCAGACUCCUACGGGAGGCAGCAGUGGGGAAUCUUGGACAAUGGGCGCAAGCCUGAUCCAGCAAUGCCGCGUGGGUGAAGAAGGCCUUCGGGUUGUAAAGCCCUUUCGGCGGGGAAGAAAUCGGCCGGGCGAAUAGUUCGGCUGGAUGACGGUACCCGCAGAAGAAGCACCGGCUAACUACGUGCCAGCAGCCGCGGUAAUACGUAGGGUGCGAGCGUUAAUCGGAAUUACUGGGCGUAAAGGGUGCGCAGGCGGCUGUGUAAGACCGGUGUGAAAUCCCCGGGCUCAACCUGGGAAUGGCGCUGGUGACUGCACAGCUCGAGUACGGUAGAGGGGGGUGGAAUUCCUGGUGUAGCAGUGAAAUGCGUAGAGAUCAGGAGGAAC